UCAGUAACGGCGAGUGAAGCGGCAACAGCUCAAAUUUGAAAUCUGGCCUCUUUGGGGUCCGAGUUGUAAUUUGUAGAGGAUGUUUCGGGUACCGCCUCGGUUUAAAUUUCUUGGAACAGAAUGUCAGAGAGGGUGAGAAUCCCGUCUUGGACCGGCGGUAGGGCCCAUGUGAAACUCCUUCGACGAGUCGAGUUGUUUGGGAAUGCAGCUCAAAAUGGGUGGUAAAUUUCAUCUAAAGCUAAAUAUUGGCCAGAGACCGAUAGCGCACAAGUAGAGUGAUCGAAAGAUGAAAAGCACUUUGAAAAGAGAGUUAAACAGUAUGUGAAAUUGUUGAAAGGGAAGCGCUUACAACCAGACUUGAGCGCGGCGGUUCCCCCUUCCUUUUGGUUGGGUUACUCCGCCGUGUCCAGGCCAACAUCGGUUCUGGGGGUCGGUCAAAGGCUUUGGGAAUGUACCUACCCUUCGGGCGUAGACUUAUAGCCCAGAGUGUCAUGCGGCCUCCCGGGACCGAGGAACGCGCUUCGGCUCGGAUGUUGGCGUAAUGGUUGUCAGCGACCCGUCUUGAAACACGGACCAAGGAGUCUAACAUCUAUGCGAGUGUUUGGGUGUCAAACCCGGAACGCGAAAUGAAAGUGAACGGAGGUAGGAAGCCGUGAGGCUGCACUAUCGACCGAUCCUGAUGUCUUCGGAUGGAUUUGAGUAAGAGCAUAGCUGUUGGGACCCGAAAGAUGGUGAACUAUGCCUGAAUAGGGUGAAGCCAGAGGAAACUCUGGUGGAGGCUCGCAGCGGUUCUGACGUGCAAAUCGAUCGUCAAAUUUAGGUAUAGGGGCGAAAGACUAAUCGAACCAUCUGGUAGCUGGUUCCUGCCGAAGUUCCCUCAGGAUAGCAGUAACGUUUUCAGUUUAUGAGGU
rnacentral:rRNA from 1 species